CAGCAGCAGCCGCGGUAAUACGAAGGGUGCAAGCGUUACUCGGAAUUACUGGGCGUAAAGCGUGCGUAGGUGGUGGUUUAAGUCCGUUGUGAAAGCCCUGGGCUCAACCUGGGAAUUGCAGUGGAUACUGGGUCACUAGAGUGUGGUAGAGGAUAGUGGAAUUUCCGGUGUAGCAGUGAAAUGCGUAGAGAUCGGAAGGAACAUCUGUGGCGAAGGCGACUAUCUGGGCCAACACUGACACUGAGGCACGAAAGCGUGGGGAGCAAACAGGAUUAGAUACCCCAGUAGUCCCUGUCUCUUAUAA
rnacentral:rRNA from 1 species